UCCCGCGCCACCUCGACAGAACCAGGGAUGGGAGUUGGCAAAUCUGGACCAACCCCGGUUCUUUCCCUGGAAAUUUCUGACCAUUUCUACAUGUCAAACGCUGCGAUAGAACGUGGGAACAGAGCAGUGAACAAAAAGGAAAUUUUGCUCUCAUGCGGGGGAGAUGAACAGCGAAGAAACCAACACGCAAGUACAUAGCAUGUCAGAUGGUGUUGAAGCGAUGAAGAAAAGUGAACCGGAGUAAGAGGGGCAGUGGAUGUUGGAGUGGGGGCUGCUCCUGUAGACAGUGAGGUCAAGACAGAAUUCUCUGCUAAGGUGGCCCUUGAGCAAAGGCCUAAAGGAACCGAAGAAGCAGAAGGAACCAUGUAGCAGUUUGUGGAAGAGCACUGCAAGAGAGAUGGGUUAAUGGGUCUUAUAUCAAGCUGCUUUCCUGUAUCCCUGUGAACCGCACUCCUACUGCGCUUGGCCUUACCUUGGCUCCCAGGAUUGUUCCCAGGGUGACCGGGCUGUGUGACACCAAGGAUCUCCCUCCGGAUCAAGAUGUGGGAGGGAAUAAAGCCAGACUCUACACUCCAUGGCGUACACUUCCU